CAGAAACACUUCCUUAUGGCACCAUAGGAAGUGUCAAGACAGACCAGACACUUCAGCAGCCAGAAAAGCAGAUUUACUGCAGCCAUUCUUUCCUGGGCUAUUUAUAGAGACCACGAUUGUUGUCAUCAAAAUUCUUGCAACCUAAGGGACCUGAAUAUCACUGCUGACAACUCCAGAGAUCUCUUGAGGAAAGCAGGAGAGGCACUGCUGACCCUUUUGAGGUCCCCUGUCUUCCUCAUGGAGCCCCAAGGGUUGUAAGUUCCUCUUAGGUAGGACUCUGAUCUUUUUGCAUCAACCCGCUGUUUUUAUGGGCUUUUGAAGCCAGACUUAGUUUGUUCUGUGAGAAGACAUUUGACCUUGGAUUAGGUACCAAGAGUUAGUUUGUGCUGCGAGAGAGCGCAUAACCUUUGGGUUUGGGGUGGCU
rnacentral:lncRNA from 10 species